UUUCUGUAACCUUCCGUGCCCAGCCUCCCUUCCUUGCGGACAUUCUUGUCCAAAAAACUGUCACAUGGAUACUGAGGACCACAAGCUGUUCACCUGCAGAGAGCGUUGCGGAAAGACAUGUUCCAGAGGUCACUGUUGCAACGAACGCUGCCACGGCCACUGUACGCGUUGCACGGUGCACAUUAAGGUGGAGUUUCCCGCUUGCCACCAUACUUCGAAAGUCCCGUGCUACAUGGCAGACGAGGCGACUUGCACGAAAAAGUGCGGGCGACGCUUGAAAUCAUGCGGUCAUCCAUGUGGCAAAAAAUGCGGCGAGCUCUGCGGUGGAGCGUGCAUGGUAUCAAAUGUUGAGGUAGGUCCAUGCGGACAUCUCAUCGAAGUCCCGUGCAAGAUGUCUGGCUGUAUCGCUGCUAAUCCAGAACUCUGUCAAGCCCGCUGCGAGAGACUGCUACAAUGCGGACAUAAGUGUGCAGGGCGUUGUGGUGAGCCGUGUGGCGAUAACCCGUGCAGGGAAGCCGUAAAGAAGUCCUUACCCUGCGGCCAUACGGCCACUGCGGAGUGUCGUGAGUUGACAACGGUUAUUGCAUGCCGGACGAAAUCUAGUUACGUGCUUCCUUGCGGACAUGACGUGGUCCUCGAAUGCUGGCAGACCCAAACUGAAUCAUUUUUCGCGUGCGAUCAGUGUCCGAAGUCUCAGCCAUGUGGACACAUAUGCCGUUUCGGAUGCACGAGAGCUUGUAGCCACGUUUGCAAUGCCGAAGUAGCCGCUCCGUGCUUAUCUGGACACACCGUUGUAGUUCCUUGCUGGAAGCAAAAGGAUUCCUCUGCCAUUUCUAGACUGUGCCGUGCACCUUGUCCAGCUAUCCUACACUGCGGUCAUCCUUGCUCGAAUGCCUGUAGUGAACCUUGCGCAAGUACGUGCAACAAGUAUGUUACUAUGGACAGAGCUUGUGGCCACAAAGAUAUCGUUCCGUGCAGUCUGCUGAAAAGGGAAUUUCCUUGCUUAGAACCUUGUCCCCGGUCUCUUGCCUGCGGUCAUCCGUGUCCGGUCGCCUGCUACAAAACGCCGUGCCCAUACCCGUGCCAGCUAUCGUGCCCAAUGUCCUGCCCUCACGGCCCGUGCCCGGCUGUAUGUGGCUAUCCAUGUCCACCUUGCGGAGAACCCUGCACGUGGUCGUGUCCGCACUAUCGUUGUGGUGCCUUGUGUUGCGAACCUUGUACGCGGCCUCCCUGCAACCAUCGCUGCGCGAGACUGCUGCCCUGUGGCCAUGCUUGUCUCGGAGCCUGCGGCGAGCCCUGUCCGACGCUAUGCAGUGUUUGCAAGCCGAAAGAGUACGAGGAAGAAGCGGGAACGUCCCUAAAUGUUCUCCUCGUAGCGCUCGGAGACUGCGGACAUUCUGUGCCCGAGGAAGAUUUGAGGAAAGCUUGCUCCACUGCCCCUGAGGAUGGCCCCCUUUUGUGCCCUAGAUGCUCGACGCCCGCCAGGCAUUGUCUGAGGUUCGGUCAACGUGUCAAGAAGUACAUCGCCAGGAUGAACAGACAAAAGCGAAAGGCUCUGCAUGAUAUCUGGAGUGAACAUUACGGUUAUGAAGCGGUUGCCAGACAACGCUCACUUGAUGACUACCUCCGUGGUCUCAUUGCAAAGAAGCAACCCUGCGACAAGUGACUUCAAUAGGCCCACUGAACAAACUGUCUUGUUUUUAUAUAGUAUUUGUUUUGGUUUCGAAACAUUGAGCGCUUCGUUGGGCUAUUGUAGCCCUCAUUCAUUCGCGCUCGAGCCCCAGCACCGACUGCAGCGAUGUAUGAUGUGAAUUCGCGAUAAUCGCCCUCUUCUCUCCACUGAUCUCAAUGUCAUAACAAAAUCACACUUGUGCAGAUAAAGAAUAUUUCAUAUCUCCCG